rnacentral:rRNA from 1 species
UACGUAGGGUGCGAGCGUUGUCCGGAAUUAUUGGGCGUAAAGAGCUCGUAGGCGGUUUGUCGCGUCUGCCGUGAAAGUCCGGGGGCUCAACUCCGGAUCUGCGGUGGGUACGGGCAGACUAGAGUGAUGUAGGGGGAGACUGGAAUUCCUGGUGUAGCGGUGAAAUGCGCAGAUAUCAGGAGGAACACCGGUGGCGAAGGCGGGUCUCUGGGCCGAUACUGACGUGAGGAGCGAAAGCGUGGGGAGCGAACAGG